ACCCUGGGUGCUGUCCCUUAGCACAGGCUCCUGGUUGAUUCGAAAGUCUUCUCUCUGCGAGGUAGGUCUGGUGGUUUCAUCCCGCAGAGUGCAUCUGUAGAGGAGAGGCUUGAGAAAAAGGAAGAGCAGGACAAUGGCCUGGAUUUCUGGAGGCCUGCUUUAAAGCUGCUCACUUCUGUAAGGAAGGGAAGGAGGAAUAGACUGGCCCAAAUCUCUGGAGGACUGCCUGCUCUCUGA
rnacentral:lncRNA from 1 species